AACCUGGUUGAUCCUGCCAGUAGUCAUAUGCGUUGUGCUCAAAGAUUAAGCCAUGCAUGUCUCAGUAUAAGCUUCUACACGGCGAAACUGCGAAUGGCUCAUUAAAACAGUUAUAGUUUAUUUGAUGGUCAACAAUUACAUGGAUAACCGUGGUAAUUCUAGAGCUAAUACAUGCGCCCAAACCCAACUUCGUGGAAGGGUUGUGUUUAUUAGAUACAGAACCAACCCAGGCUCCGCCUGGCAUUGAGGUGAUUCAUAAUAACCGAACGGAUCGCAUGGUUCGCCGGCGACAAAUCAUUCAAGUUUCUGACCUAUCAGCUAUCGUCGGUAGGGUAUUGGCCUACCGUGGCAAUGACGGGUAACGGAGAAUUAGGGUUCGAUUCCGGAGAGGGAGCCUGAGAAACGGCUACCACAUCUAAGGAAGGCAGCAGGCGCGCAAAUUACCCAAUCCUGACAUAGGGAGGUAGUGACAAGAAAUACCAAUACGGGGCAUCCAUGUCUCGUAAUUGGAAUGAGUAAACUUUAAAUCACUUUACGAGUAUCAAUUGGAGGGCAAGUCUGGUGCCAGCAGCCGCGGUAAUUCCAGCUCCAAUAGC
rnacentral:rRNA from 1 species